rnacentral:rRNA from 1 species
AGAGUUUGAUCCUGGCUCAGGAUGAACGCUGGCGGCGUGCCUAACACAUGCAAGUCGAACGAAGACAUACCGACGGAAUCCUUCGGGAGGAAGAUGGUAUGGACUGAGUGGCGGACGGGUGAGUAACGCGUGGGUAACCUACCCUGUACAGGGGGAUAACAGUCAGAAAUGACUGCUAAUACCGCAUAAGACCACAGCACCGCAUGGUGCAGGGGUAAAAACUUCGGUGGUACAGGAUGGACCCGCGUCUGAUUAGCUGGUUGGUGAGGUAACGGCUCACCAAGGCGACGAUCAGUAGCCGGCUUGAGAGAGUGAACGGCCACAUUGGGACUGAGACACGGCCCAAACUCCUACGGGAGGCAGCAGUGGGGAAUAUUGCACAAUGGGGGAAACCCUGAUGCAGCGACGCCGCGUGAGUGAAGAAGUAUCUCGGUAUGUAAAGCUCUAUCAGCAGGGAAGAAAAUGACGGUAGCUUAGGAGAAAGCCCCGGCUAACUACGUGCCAGCAGCCGCGGUAAUACGUAGGGGGCAAGCGUUGUCCGGAAUUACUGGGUGUAAAGGGAGCGCAGGCGGAGAAGCAAGUCAGUGGUGAAAACGAUGGGCUUAACUCAUCGACUGCCAUUGAAACUGUUUCCCUUGAGUGAAGUAGAGGCAGGCGGAAUUCCGAGUGUAGCGGUGAAAUGCGUAGAUAUUCGGAGGAACACCAGUGGCGAAGGCGGCCUGCUGGGCUUUAACUGACGCUGAGGCUCGAAAGUGUGGGGAGCAAACAGGAUUAGAUACCCUGGUAGUCCACACUGUAAACGAUGAUUGCUAGGUGUGGGGGGUCUGACCCCUUCCGUGCCGGAGUUAACGCAAUAAGCAAUCCACCUGGGGAGUACGGCCGCAAGGUUGAAACUCAAAGAAAUUGACGGGGGCCCGCACAAGCAGUGGAUUAUGUGGUUUAAUUCGACGCAACGCGAAGAACCUUACCAGGUCUUGACAUCCAACGAAUCCUUAAGAGAUUAGGGAGUGCCUUUCGGGGAACGUUGAGACAGGUGGUGCAUGGUUGUCGUCAGCUCGUGUCGUGAGAUGUUGGGUUAAGUCCCGCAACGAGCGCAACCCCUGCCAUUAGUUGCUACGCAAGAGCACUCUAAUGGGACCGCUACCGACAAGGUGGAGGAAGGUGGGGACGACGUCAAAUCAUCAUGCCCCUUAUGACCUGGGCUACACACGUAAUACAAUGGCCGUUAACAACGGGAGGCAAAACCGCGAGGUAGAGCAAAACCCUAAAAACGGUCCCAGUUCGGAUCGCAGGCUGCAACCCGCCUGCGUGAAGUUGGAAUUGCUAGUAAUCGCGGAUCAGCAUGCCGCGGUGAAUACGUUCCCGGGCCUUGCACACACCGCCCGUCA